rnacentral:rRNA from 1 species
GGUUGUUUAGCUGUUAUGUUGGUUGUUUUGGUUUAUUUGCCUUUUGCAUCAUGCUUAACGGAGUUUUGUAAAGUAUGUUUUUGUACCGAAAGGUUCUGAUUUUAAAUUUAGUUGUUUAGAGUUAUCGUUAGGUCUGGGUAAGGUUUUGUAAAUUAAAUUUAUGAUGUGAUAAGUAAGUCGUAGAGCUUUAUAACUGUUUGGUUGUUGAUUAUUUAGUGAUAUGUGGGUGGCUAUUAGGUCAUUUAUAAUUUUAUACAUUUAGUGUUAUGUGUAUAGUUUGAUAAGGUUAUAGGUACCUAAUUUUUGUUAUAUUGUUGUAAAUAUGGUUUUGAUGGUUUAGUUGUGUGUUAAUUGGUUGGACAACUGUUUUAUUAUGUUUAGUUGCUAUACUAUCGUUGAAUAAGUAAUUUUAUUAUGCUAUUUAUUUCUCGAAUUCUUUCCGUCUGUUUAUUAAAAACAUUUCCAAUUUUAAUUAUAAUUGGUAGUGCCUGCCCAAUGUUGGUUGAUUAAUGGCCGCGGUAUAUUGACUGUGCAAAGGUAGCAUAAUUAAUUGCCUUUUAAUUGGAGGCUUGUUUGAAUGGUUUGACGAGAUAGGUAUGAAUAUUUGGUAUUUGGUUGAAAUUGAUUUUAAGGGUUUAGAAUUCUUUAUGUUUAAUAAGACGGAAAGACCCUAGGAUCUUUUGUUUUUGUUUGGGGCAAAUCUUAAUGUUUUAUGAAUAUUAUGACCCUGAAGUUGGAUUGGUUUGUUGGGUUAAGUUACCCUAGGGAUAACAGUGUGAUUACUAAUUAGAGAUCAUAUCGAAUUAGUUGUUUGCCACCUCGAUGUUGACUUAGGCUAAGGUUUUGGUGUAGUAGUUGAGAUUUUAGGUCUGUUCGACCUUUUAGCCUUCAUGAGUUGAGUUAAGACCGGCGUGAGCCAGGUCGGUUCUUAUCUAUUGUGGAAGUUUAUCAGUACGAAAGGACAGUAAAUUUUUUUGUU